rnacentral:lncRNA from 1 species
CAUGAUCAAUGAAAAAGUUCUGUCCACCAGAAUAUAGUGAGCUCCUAAUUGCCAAAUCUGCUAGUUACAGAAGUUAUCAUGUAUCUCUUUGUAUUUUGCUUAGCAGGAAAAUACUGAAGAGUAAAUUAGGAAAAGAUUACCAUCCACAGAGAAUUUAUGGAAAUUGGGAUAGAGGUGAUGACGAAAGAAACAUGCUUUUACCUGGCAGAUGUAUAAGAGCCCGUAGCAUCUUAUUGGUGGCUCAUUCGCUUGGAGAUUUGGUAUCAGAAACUCGC